AGUGAACGCUGGCGGUAGGCCUAACACAUGCAAGUCGAACGGCAGCACAGUAAGAGCUUGCUCUUACGGGUGGCGAGUGGCGGACGGGUGAGGAAUACAUCGGAAUCUACUUGUUCGUGGGGGAUAACGUAGGGAAACUUACGCUAAUACCGCAUACGACCUACGGGGGGAAGCAGGGGAUCUUCGGACCUUGCGCGAUUGAAUGAGCCGAUGUCGGAUUAGCUAGUUGGCGGGGUAAAGGCCCACCAAGGCGACGAUCCGUAGCUGGUCUGAGAGGAUGAUCAGUCACACUGGAACUGAGACACGGUCCAGACUCCUACGGGAGGCAGCAGUGGGGAAUAUUGGACAAUGGGCGCAAGCCUGAUCCAGCCAUACCGCGUGGGUGAAGAAGGCCUUCGGGUUGUAAAGCCCUUUUGUUGGGAAAGAAAAGCAGCAGGUUAAUACCCCGCUGUUCUGACGGUACCCAAAGAAUAAGCACCGGCUAACUUCGUG
rnacentral:rRNA from 1 species